rnacentral:rRNA from 1 species
AGAGCGAACGCUGGCGGCAUGCUUAACACAUGCAAGUCGCACGGGCAGGGGUAACUCUGUCAGUGGCGGACGGGUGAGUAACGCGUAGGUAUCUAUCUCUGGGUGGGGGACAACUGUGGGAAACUACAGCUAAUACCGCAUGACACCUGAGGGUCAAAGGCGCAAGUCGCCUGGAGAGGAGCCUGCGUACGAUUAGCUAGUUGGUGGGGUAAAGGCCUACCAAGGCGACGAUCGUUAGCUGGUCUGAGAGGAUGAUCAGCCACAUUGGGACUGAGACACGGCCCAAACUCCUACGGGAGGCAGCAGUGGGGAAUAUUGGACAAUGGGCGAAAGCCUGAUCCAGCAAUGCCGCGUGUGUGAAGAAGGUCUUCGGAUUGUAAAGCACUUUCGACGGGGACGAUGAUGACGGUACCGUAGAAGAAGCCCGGCUAACUUCGCGCCAGCAGCCGC